GUGAAACGAUUGAGAAUUUCUUGGAGCUUCAUCUCAAAGAAAACGCUUGCAGCUAAUAUUCAAUGAGAAAGAGAUUAGUUUUGAUCUGGA